rnacentral:misc_RNA from 1 species
GAAAAACAAAAUUUCAACAGUUCAUGUCAAUAAAAAAUUAUAUGUUAUCUCUGUGGGGCUAGUUAAUUCCCCUGGUAGGUUGGCUCAGCCCCUUCAGCAGCUAGUUUUAUUCGUUGGUGAUGCUCCGCGACCUUGUAAUCUACAAUUUCCCUGAAUAGUUGAGAAUCAAGAACGCAGUCUGGGCUCCCAUAUACAGUUGCUUGAACACUUGCCACAAGUUUUGCAAUCUCACGCCCAGAGAAUCCUUCUGUCUUCUUAGCAGCCUCUCUAAUCACCUCAUCAGACAAAUCUUUUAUGGUUAUCCUUUGCGGGCUCUUCUUGAAGAGGUGUCCCCACUUAGAAUCGCUGUCACUGUCACCUUCACCAGCAAGGUACUUGUUCAAAUAGAGCUUCAGCAAUUGGAAACGCUCAUCCUCUUGAGGUAGAGGGAAUUCAAUAACUUCAUCUAUACGGUCAGUGACAGCACUGUCAAGGUCUCCUGGUCUGUUGGUAGCGAGGACAAGAACUACGUCUCGUGACUGGUCACCUGUCCGAAAGAGUAAAG